UCGACUCCUUCACACGAGUAACACUUUAAAGAAUGUGGCUUCAGAAAAACGUAGAGACAGAGCAAGAAAAGUCAUCCUUCUUCUGGGACAUGAAGCACAGAAAAGCCAAAUUUCUAAAAAAAACAGGCGGCGAGAGGCAACCAUGCUAUGCUGUCAGAGAAUCAGAGUCGAAGAUAGCAAAUAAGUUUGACGUCCAUUCUCUCUACUAAUGCCACUGAAAAGCUUAGGGUCAUCAAUCAGAAUAAUCACAUAAGUUUGAAAGUUGUCCCUUCGAUUAUCAUCCAAAGAAUAAGUACGUUCAAAGUACUUGCGACACUUCCGAGGAAAGCCUACAAGUCUCAGUGGCUUUUCCACACUAUUGGUGAUAUAAUAGAAGGCAGAUCCAUUGGUAGUAUUUGAGAAAGUAUCUAUCAAUUAAAAAAAUUAUAAUAAUAAUGAAAAAAAAAAUAAUGAACUUUUGUCAGAAAUGGUUCUUAUUUGAAUUGCCGUAACAAAAGUAAAAAAAAAACUAUUUCCCACAUGUCAUUAAAUGAUUCACACUGCUCAUCUUAUUGUUUUAAAUCUAGUUAGAUAAUAAAAUUAUUAUACGCAUAUUAGAGCAUCAUUAAUGGGGGUGUUUAGAGGGGAGAGCUUAGGAAAAAACUAAUAUAAUAGUGGGUGGAACCCACACAAAAAUUAAGUACAUGUGCUUCUUCUGCCUAAUUAAGCACCGGUUCUAGCUCUGUUUCACGGAUCCCAC
rnacentral:lncRNA from 1 species